AAACUUUCAACAACGGAUCUCUUGGCUCUCGCAUCGAUGAAGAACGCAGCGAAAUGUGAUAAGUAAUGUGAAUUGCAGAAUUCAGUGAAUCAUCGAAUCUUUGAACGCACCUUGCGCUCCCUGGUCAUUCCGGGGAGCAUGCCUGUUUGAGUGUCAUAA
rnacentral:rRNA from 1 species